AACGCACAUUGCGCCCGCUAGUAUUCUGGCGGGCAUGCCUGUUCGAGCGUCCUUUGGACCCUCGGGCCCGGGUUGAUUCGUCUCCCCGAGGCCCGGUGUUGGGAACCCGCGGCUGCCGCGGGCCCCUAAAAUCAGCGGCGGACCCUUCGGUGGCCCUGGCGUAGUAAUACAUACCUAGCCUUCGGCUGCAGGAGAGGCCUUGCCUCCAGCACCAUAACUCAAAGCUGGACCUCGAAUCAGGUAGGAAUACCCGCUGAACUUAA
rnacentral:misc_RNA from 1 species